AAAAAAAUACUUCCUUUUAUUUUUUGGAAAAAAAUAUAUGAGCUUAAGCUGCACUAAUAUUGAAGAAAAUUCAUUUCAAACAUUCCAUUAAUGAACUACCACGUCCCCGUAGUGUCCCCGUGCCGUUUCUAUGGUGUUUCCGUCCCGAAAACGUUUCCGGUACGGGUACAUUAACCAAACUGCCGUCCCCGUGCAUCUCAGACGGCAACUAAUCCGGAGGCGGAGGAUCGGCCGAAUAUGGAAAGAAAGUGGGGAAAAAGAUCCAACUUUUAUUCUUACUUUUACUCAGUGCCAAUUUGUUUGGUGUUAGAGGAAGACAUCUACUUUGCUUUGUUGUUUAGAAUCAAUCUGUAUAUGAAACUCUCCGUCGUCUCUUUGCAGGUUUUUUUUUGCCUCUUAAAUUAUUUGCUAAUUGAUCGCUGUUUCGUUAGAUAGAUUUAACGAUUGAAGACACUCAGAUGAAGUUUUAUGGACAGAUUUCUCUUUAUUACCUGACCGAAGCUGCAAGCUUGUGUUGUUGUUUUUAUCUCUUGCAAUUACCAUUACGUAGCCCCUCUUAGGUUAUACGCUUAGAUGAGUUCUUCUCUUGCAGAUUUCAAAAUAUUUAAGAUCACAUGAGAGCCUGAGGUUGUGAUUGCACCAAGUUUGCAGCUUUAGAUGAUCCCUGUUUCCGUUCUUUAACAUGGGAGAUAGCUUUGAUCAUUAUUUGGAUGCGUUGCUAUUAAUUUCGAUACAAACCUUCUCAAACUGGGACAUAAUAAUGUCUGCAUUUGCCUCAGGCAGUACCGUUUCGUUACAUUUGUCCUCUUGAGCCUUACUUUGUUGGUUUUGUUUAUUGUGAGAGAGAGAGAGAGAGAGAGAGAGAGAGAGAGAGAGAGAGAUUAGCUUCCAGGAUAUGGUCGAGGAAAGACCCAUUGCAGCUGCUUAUACAGUUUCAGACGUGGGAGUUACUAGCUACUAUUGAUAAAAUGAAACCGACGAGAAAAAAUAAAAAUAUAAAGGUUGAAGAAAAGCAUAGAACCGGCAGUAGGUGUGACAUGCUUUUCAAAGCAACAUCGCAUCCUUUGCCGAAUUCAUCUUCUCUCUGACAACCAUUGCCGGCAGUUGAGUGACAGAGAUAAAAUAGAUGUUAAGGUGAACAUCAGACCUGAGCUAAGUUUAAUCAAAUGAAACAUAGCUUUCUUAUCUUUUUGACUUCAUUGUGGAUGAGUAUAAAGUCAGCUGUGUUGUGUGAAGGGCUACUUGACGCAUGUUCAGGGGAGACUCACCUGUCUAUAUUCAGGUCCCCAAUUGAGUGAAUGGAGGAGAUCUUGACCAGAGAAGUUAUGUGAGAUCACAGACCUAUAUUAGAGGCUUCUUCUAAAUUUUAAUGCCUCAGCUUCCGAAUCUCUCUUAGUCUCUCUCGCUCUUCUUCGUCUCAUGCCAUCAGCUACACUAUUUUUUCAUCUUCCUCUCUUGAGAUUCUUUCUUUCCAUAUGUAUGCUGAUUUAGUUUGUCAUCUCUGGCAACAUUGGCAACCAUGCAACAGCGUAUUUGCCAAGAUUAUGAUUUGGCUUUCCAAACAAAGAAGAUUUCCUUCUGGUGUUUGGUCUGAGAGUGCACACUAUGGAAAGAAUAUAUCCUCAACUCCUUGAAUCAUGCUUUGAAAAUAGAAGCAAUAAGUCAUGUAAUAGUUUACUUGAAGAUCAUAAUAUUCUGGAGAAGAUACUAAUUCUAAUGGCUCCAA